GACGAGCCUCACAAACGUUAUUCGGAAUUACUGGGCUUAAAGGGUGCGUAGGCGGUGCGGAAAGUUUGGGUGUGAAAUCCCUCGGCCUAACCGAGGAAUUGCGCUCAAAACUACCGUGCUCGAGGGAGAUAGGAGGAAUGCGGAACUUACGGUGGAGCGGUGGAAAUGCGUUGAUAUCGUAGGGAACACCGGGUGGCGAAAAG
rnacentral:rRNA from 1 species